UUUUUCUGAAGCCCUAAUUUUCUCAUUCUAACCGGAAGAACAAGCUUAAUGAGCAAGAAAUAAAGAUGCUUGUUCAGUCUAGUGCCUUGCUGGAAGUGUUUGUUGGAUCACUUACAUCUUUAAGGCCAUUCUUUAAAAAUGUUAUGCAUGUGGCUUUGGGUAGAAUUAUUGUAUGUCUUCAGAGUACUUCAGUUUACCCAGAUGUAAAGGUUAUACUUGAGAAUAUUAUCUACCAUUUACUGGAUAUAUGCAGUCGUCACAGUUUUAACCAUCUCAGUGUGACCCUUCCCUCCACAAGUGCAACAUUGCUCAAGCAUCUCUACAAGAAUUAUGAGAACUUUUAUAGAUAUCACUCCCAUGUAAGAAAGGGAAAACUUUAACUUAUAUAUACCAUGUACUCAAUUGGAUUUUAUGUACCAUGCAGAUAUUUUAUCAUCAUUCUUGAUAAUCAUACUCAAAUUUUAAGGGUCCUAUUUUACUUUAUUGUUCUACUAAAAUUUUAAAAGUCCUGUUUUACUUUGUUGUUCUGCCACUUCCUUUUAUCAUGGGCUUUGUUUAUUUUAGGUGUCAUUUUUUUUUAUUAAAAAUGUUGCAAUUCAAAACUUGUAAUUUUCUGGAGCAUUGUAAAAUCCACAUGGAUGGUGAGAAAUAUUCGCCUAGGCCUUGACUUCUGUAAUAAAAACAAGAACAAA